CGGGGAAUAUUGCACAAUGGGCGCAAGCCUGAUGCAGCCAUGCCGCGUGUAUGAAGAAGGCCUUCGGGUUGUAAAGUACUUUCAGCGAGGAGGAAGGCGUUGUGGUUAAUAACCGCAGCGAUUGACGUUACUCGCAAAAGAAGCACCGGCUAACUCCGUGCCAGCAGCCGCGGUAAUACGGAGGGUGCAAGCGUUAAUCGGAAUUACUGGGCGUAAAGCGCACGCAGGCGGUCUGUCAAGUCGGAUGUGAAAUCCCCGGGCUCAACCUGGGAACCGCAUCCGAAACUGGCAGGCUAGAGUUUUGUAGAGGGGGGUAGAAUUCCAGGUGUAGCGGUGAAAUGCGUUAGAGAUCUGGAGGAAUACCGGUGGCGAAGGCGGCCCCCUGGACAAAGACUGACGCUCAGGUGCGAAAAGCGUGGGGAGCAAACA
rnacentral:rRNA from 1 species